rnacentral:rRNA from 1 species
UACAGAGGGGGCAAGCGUUGUUCGGAAUUACUGGGCGUAAAGGGCGCGUAGGCGGCCUGCUAAGUCGAACGUGAAAUCCCUGGGCUCAACCCAGGAACUGCGUCCGAUACUGGUUGGCUUGAAUCCGGGAGAGGGAUGUGGAAUUCCAGGUGUAGCGGUGAAAUGCGUAGAUAUCUGGAGGAACACCGGUGGCGAAGGCGACAUCCUGGACCGGUAUUGACGCGUGAGGCGCGAAAGCCAGGGGAGCAAAGCGGG